CAAUUAUACAGCGAAACUGCGAAUGGCUCAUUAUAUAAGUUAUCGUUUAUUUGAUAGUACCUUACUACUUGGAUAACCGUGGUAAUUCUAGAGCUAAUACAUGCUAAAAAUCCCGACUUCGGAAGGGAUGUAUUUAUUAGAUUAAAAACCAAUGCCCUCUGGGCUCUCUGGUGAUUCAUGAUAACUUCUCGAAUCGCAUGGCCUUGCGCCGGCGAUGGUUCAUUCAAAUUUCUUCCCUAUCAACUUUCGAUGUUUGGGUAGUGGCCAAACAUGGUUGCAACGGGUAACGGAGGGUUAGGGCUCGACCCCGGAGAAGGAGCCUGAGAAACGGCUACUACAUCCAAGGAAGGCAGCAGGCGCGCAAAUUACCCAAUCCCGACACGGGGAGGUAGUGACAAUAAAUACUGAUACAGGGCUCUUUUGGGUCUUGUAAUUGGAAUGAGUACAAUUUAAAUCCCUUAACGAGGAACAAUUGGAGGGCAAGUCUGGUGCCAGCAGCCGCGGUAAUUCCAGCUCCAAUAGCGUAUAUUAAAGUUGUUGUGGUUAAAAAGCUCGUAGUUGAACCUUGGGCCUGGCUGGCCGGUCCGCCUCACCGCGUGUACUGGUCCGGCCGGGCCUUUCCCUCUGUGGAACCCCAUGCCCUUCACUGGGUGUGGCGGGGAAACAGGACUUUUACUUUGAAAAAAUUAGAGUGCUCCAGGCAGGCCUAUGCUCGAAUACAUUAGCAUGGAAUAAUGAAAUAGGACGUGCGGUUCUAUUUUGUUGGUUUCUAGGACCGCCGUAAUGAUUAAUAGGGACAGUCGGGGGCAUCAGUAUUCAAUUGUCAGAGGUGAAAUUCUUGGAUUUAUUGAAGACUAACUACUGCGAAAGCAUUUGCCAAGGAUGUUUUCAUUAAUCAGGAACGAAAGUUAGGGGAUCGAAGACGAUCAGAUACCGUCGUAGUCUUAACCAUAAACUAUGCCGACUAGGGAUCGGACGAUGUUAUUUUUUGACUCGUUCGGCACCUUACGAGAAAUCAAAGUGC
rnacentral:rRNA from 2 species